GCGCAGCAGUCGCGAAACCUCCGCAAUACACGAAAGUGUGACGGGGCCAUCCCGAGUGCCGUCCGCUGAGGACGGCUUUUCCCCAGUGUACACAGCUGGGGGAAUAAGGAGAGGGCAAGCCUGGUGUCAGCCGCCGCGGUAAUACCAGCUCUCCGAGUGGUGGGGACGCUUAUUGGGCCUAAAGCAUCCGUAGCCGGCUGGGCAAGUCCUCCGUUAAAUCCAACGAUUCAAUCGUUGGGCUGCGGGGGAUACUGUCCAGCUUGGGGGCGGGAGAGGCCGACGGUAUUCCCCGGGGUAGGGGUGAAAUCCUAUAAUCCCGGGAGGACCACCAGUGGCGAAGGCUGUCGGCUAGAACGCGCCCGACGGUGAGGGGAUGAAAAGCUGGGGGGAGCGAACCGGAUUAGAUACCCCGGUAGU
rnacentral:rRNA from 1 species